AUGAACAAGAAGUUUAGGAUGGAGACUGCAAUAUCUGCCAUCCUGUCUGCCUCUGUUGUCAGUACUGUCAGUUCCCAAACUAAUCUGCCAUUCAAUCAAGAUACCCAAUAUCUGAGUGCUCUGCUAUUUGAAAGGAAGCCAGGGACACUUCUCUCUGUGCAUCACUUCACUCGAUCUUACAAAUGAGUGGCUCUGGUAAGAGAUUAGUCAGUGCACUCAAGAUUUGGAGGUAGACAUUAUCAGCAACGUUGAUCAGCAACUCACAAAGGCCCUUUGCCUUUCCAAGGCCCUUUUCUGGAAAGCCUCCUGACUUUUUAGUGGAACAUUGUUUCCAGUGCUGAGGCAGCAGAAAAGCUUCCAUGCAGUCAGUCUCGUCACUCAGCAUUGGAAGAAGUCAUAAGAUGUGUGUUUUGUUUUGGAUAUAAAGCUGUAUUGAUGCGCCACUUGUGUUGAGAUCGACUUGUCUGGGGAUCACUUCAGUUCCUUUGCAUGAGAGGGUAAAACCUGAGUAACAGAAGCUUUUGUUUUAACUGGAGAAAAUUAUAGCUGAAAUAGGUGAUGCCUCACUGUGGUCCAUACAGAGUAUGAGAGAGCUCAGUUUCUCUUAGCCAAAUUAAUGAAAUGAAGAAAAGGCUAGAUGCCUUGAAACUGCUAGAUUAGCAGCCCACAGCAGAAAGUGUGGCAAUUCAUUUGUGUGCAUCUGUAGUUUGAGAAGAAGAACUUUAUGUCUGCAAAGUUUGGAUCUUAUUGCUCCAGGACAAACCUGACAAUGAAAAAAACAAAACAAAACAAAACAAAACAAAACAAAACCACCACCAAAGCUCAAUAAACAUUGAACAUUGGCUUCUUGAAGAGUUCUG
rnacentral:lncRNA from 1 species